rnacentral:tRNA from 1 species
GGGCGCGUAGCUCAGCCGGUCAGAGCGCCUGCCUUACAAGCAGGAAGUCGGUGGUUCGAGUCCGCCCGCGCCCACCA